GGGUCAUGUCAGUCUCAUCGGCAUAACUAAGAUCAUCGCCGAAACAAAGACGGUUCCGCUGAGUUCUUCUGCAGAGUUCUCAGAGGAAGGAAAGAUAGGAAGGCUCCACACCACUCUCUCACUUGAGUUCCUCCGCAUGCCGUACGGCAUCUCCACUGGCAGUGAGGUCUUCCAGAGAUCGAUGGAGCAUCUGUUUGCUGGGCAGCCAUGUAAGAUAGUGGACGACAUCCUGGUGUGGGGGACACACACUGGAUGAACACGAUGAGCGCCUCAAACAGGUCCUCAACAGGAUUAGGGCUGUCAACGUGAAGCUGAAUCCAGAGAAGUGCAGAUUCAGGCUCCAUAACAUUCCCUACGUCGGGCAACUUCUCACAGCCAACAGAGUGAAACCUGACCUGGAAAAGACAGGCCAUCAUGCAGAUGCCCAAGCCAGCAGAAAAGCAGACACUGCAGCACUUUCUGGGUCUGACUAACUAUCUAAGUUCACGCCACAAUACAGUGAGGUGAUGGGGCUCCUCUAUCAGGAUACUGAAUGAUGCUGUAAGGAGCAACAUGACACUGCCCUGACCAAACUGAAAGAGUUGCUGUCGAAGUACUGGAGCACCGGUUAGCUAUGAUGUGGGCAAACCAGUGAUGAUAUCUGCAGAUGCAUCCCAGCAUGGUCUCGGAGAAAUAUGUCUACAAAUAAAAUUGUAUUUGUCACAUGCUUCGUAAACAACAGUGGAAUGCUUACUUAUGGGCCCUUCCCAACAAUGCAGAGAGAAAAAUAUAGAAAAAGAAUAACACAAGGAACAAAUACACAAUGAAUAACAAUAACUUGGCUGUAUGCAGAGGGUACCAGUACCGAGUUGAUGUGCAGGGGUAAGAGGUACAGUUGAAGUCGGAAGUUUACAUACAACUCAGCCAAAUACAUUUAAACUCAGUUUUUCACAAUUCCUGACAUUUAAUCCUAUUAAAAUUCCCUGUCUUAGGUCAGUUAGAUCACCAGUUUAUUUUAAGAAUGUGAAAUGUCAGGAUAAUAGUAGAGAGAAUGAUUUAUUUCAGCUUUUAAUUCUUUCAUCACAUUCCCCCUGGAUCAGAAGUUUACAUACACUUAGUAUUUGGUAGCAUUGCCUUUAAAUUGUUUAACUUGGGUCAAACGUUCAGGUAGCCUUCCACAAGCUUUCCACAAUAAGUUUUGGUGAAUUUUGGCCCAUUCCUCCUGACAGAGCUGGUGUAACUGAGUCAGGUUUGUAGGCCUCCUUGCUCACACACGCUUUAUCAGUUCUGCCCACACAUUUUCUAUAGGAUUGAGGUCAAGGCUUGUGAUGGCCACUCCAAUACCUUGACUUUGUUGUCCUUAAGCCAUUUUGCCACAACUUUGGAAGUAUGGUUUGGGUCAUUGUCCAUUUGGAAGACCCAUUUGCGACCAAGCUUUAACUUCCUGACUGAUGUCUUGAGAUGUAGCUUCAAUAUAUCCACAUAAUUUUCCUUCCUCGUGUUGCCAUCUAUUUUGUGAAGAAGCACCAGUCCCUCCUGCAGCAAAGCACCCCCAGAGCAUGAUGCUGCCACCCCCAUGCUACACGGUUGGGAUGGUGUUCUUCGGCUUGCAAGCCUCCCCCUUUUUCCUCCAAACAUAACGAUGGUCAUUAUGGCCAAACAGUUGAAUUUUUGUUUCAUCAGACCAGAGGACAUUUCUCCAAAAAGUACGAUCUUUGUGCCCAUGUGCAGUUGCAAACCGUAGUCUGGCUUUUUUAUUGCAGUUUUGGAGCAGUGGCUUCUUCCUUGCUGAGCGGCCUUUCAGGUUAUGUCGAUAUAGGACUCGUUUUACUGUGGAUAUAGAUACUUUUGUACAGCAUGUUCACAAGGUCAUUUGCUGUUGUUCUGGAAUUGAUUUGCACUUUUCGCACCAAAGUACGUUCAUCUCUAGGAGACAGAAUGUGUCUCAUUCCAUGAGCGGUAUGACUGCUGCAUGGUCCCAUGGUGUUUAUACUUGCAUACUAUUGUUUGUACAGAUGAACGUGGUACCUUCAGGCAUUUGGAAUUUGCUCCCAAGGAUGAACCAGACUUGUGGAGGUCUACACUUUUUUUCUGAGGUCUUGGCUGAUAAUUUUUUUCCCCCCAUGAUAUCAAGCAAAGAGGCACUGAGUUUGAAGGUAGGCCUUGAAAUACAUCCACAGGUACACCUCCAAUUGACUCAAAUGAUGUCAAUUAGCCUAUCAGAAGCGUCUAAAGCCAUCACAUCAUUUUCUGGAAUUUUCCAAGCUGUUUAAAGGCACAGUCAACUUAGUGUAUGUGAACUUCUGACCCAUUGGAAUUUUGAUACAGUGAAAUAAUCUGUCUGUAAACAAUUGUUUGAAAAAUGUAUUGUGUCAUGCACAAAGUAGAUGUCCUAACUGACUUGCCAAAACUAUAGUUUGUUAACAAGAAAUUUGUGGAGUGGUUGAAAACUUCCAACUUCAACUGUAGGUAUUCAUCUUGAUGAUCGGAUAGUCUCGAACGGAGAUCAUCCAGUUCUCCAGUGACUGCACAUUCGCCAACAGAACCGAGGUCAAUGGCGGUCUAUUUGUUCACUGACGUAAUCUUGUUAGAAGGCCGCCUCGCCUGCUUAUUUUGCAUGGCCAUUUUCUCUUUCGAGUCCAGGGGAUUAGGGCCUGUUCCAGUGUAAUCACUGUUCUGAUGUCCAGAAGCCGUUUUAGGUCAUAGACAUUAUGUAAGGACAGACAAAAAACACGCAAAAUGGCAGAAUUGGUCAGGAGCCCAUAAAAACUCUGCUUCCCUUAUCAG
rnacentral:lncRNA from 1 species